GUCUAGCCCAGAUAGAAGCGGCAUCCUUUUCCUGUUCGCGGCGGCGGACAGGAAAAGAUAUAGCGGAUAGCUGGAAACAGC
rnacentral:sRNA from 1 species